rnacentral:rRNA from 1 species
CCUACGGGAGGCAGCAGUGGGGAAUAUUGGGCAAUGGGCGCAAGCCUGACCCAGCAACGCCGCGUGAAGGAAGAAGGCUUUCGGGUUGUAAACUUCUUUUCUGAGGGACGAAGAAAGUGACGGUACCUCAGGAAUAAGCCACGGCUAACUACGUGCCAGCAGCCGCGGUAAUACGUAGGUGGCAAGCGUUAUCCGGAAUGACUGGGCGUAAAGGGUGCGUAGGUGGUUUGGCAAGUUAGUAGCGUAACUCCAAGGCUCAACCUUGGAACUACUACUAAAACUGUUGGACUUGAGUGCAGGAGGGGCAACCGGAAUUCCUAGUGUAGCGGUGGAAUGCGUAGAUAUUAGGAGGAACACCAGUGGCGAAGGCGGGUUGCUAGACUGUAACUGACACUGAGGCACGAAAGCGUGGGGAGCAAACAGGAUUAGAUACCCGAGUAGUC